rnacentral:lncRNA from 1 species
AGCACCUUUACAAUUAAAUAUUCAUUCCAUUUUUAUUAUUAUAGCUUAGCCUAGAGAAUUAAGUAAACAUGUGUUACUUCACUCCUACACACCGUUUAAACGCAGCUAACAGGCUUUCUGAAUAAACCAGCCCGCCCCCGGCGGUAUCAGGAGUUAGGUUCCGCAUAUGCUGUCGCCAGGCUGCAGCCGCCUGAGGGGACUCGCCCGGGGCCCCGCCCUCAGAGCUCACACCCGCCGUGCGCUCGCGCCCCAGGGGCCGCCCCCCGACACUCCAGUGCGACUCUGCGUGCACAGGCCAGAGGCUCAGAACCAGCGCCGGGCUGCCCUGCUCGGCCUCCUGGGCGCAGCGGCGUUUGCCCGUGCACGUGCCCUCGCAUCGCGCGCUCCGGGGCCGGGCUCCGGGCGGUUCUCGCCGCUGCAGUUCCACCGGGACUUCCGCGCUUCGGCGGCCUGUCUGACGAGCCGCCGCGCCCAGAGAGGUUCAGGUUGGAGCGACACUUGCCAGAGGGCAGCGGUCACGCCAGAUCUUCGGCUUCCAUUCCGUUUUCGCGCGCUUCUCCCUCUUUGCAAGGCUGAAUUCCAGGAUCUGAGAACACUCCUGUUUGCAGGCAAUGUUCUCCCCGGAAGGGCCAUAAGAGGAAUGGGCAGAACAUCCUGUUUGCAAGCCAGCUCAGCCGCAACUCAGCUCCAUGAAAUGUCCUGUAUGCAAGCACAUUCAUGUUCUUAGGCCAGAUCUCCUUCAAUGUUAUAUGUCUAUUAUAUCAAAAUUUUAAAUAAACGAAUCCAAGUGUAUACUUUAA